UCCACCUUCCGGCCGGUGCAUCACCAUCCCCCUCCUGAAAUCGCCCCUUCAGCUGCGUUUCUCACCCCAAAAGCCAUUAACGCAGAGUGCGUUACAGCCAAACCAUGCGUCCCGCCGGCCACCAUCGUUUGUUACUGAACGAAUCAAUGUUCUAGCUGCCCAUAAUCGCACUUUUCCGCUGUUGCAUCAUCAUCCCCCUUGCUGAAAUCGCCCCUUCGGAUACUUCCACAAUGCUUUAUAAAUAUAAACUCCCCCCACUCUCCCUCCCCCACCCAAAUAUUUCCACCUGAAUUGAUAUUGACACUGAAGAGUUUGACAAUCCAAUUACCGCUCCGAUUUUCCAACCAACGUUUUUGGAUUUCUUCUUUCCGAAUACGGGUUUCCCUGGAAGACAACAACAACCAAGGAUUUCUAAGCUCCUAAUUUCAUCUCUCAGGUGUUGUGUAGCCGUGUAGGAGAAAGUCAGAGAUGGUGGGAGGAAAUAGACCCCAUUUUAGCACGUAAUGUUGAUCUAUCGUCUCCAGUGGAUCAUCCUUAUUGAUAUUCAAUCUACAAUGAAGGAAGCUAGCGGACAAACUGCAGUAGCUGGAUUCAAUAUGGUAGUUCCAGGAGACUUCUUAUGCGACAAUCUUUUUAUUCCUGACGAUUUUGAGAGGCCUAAACCAGUGGUUAAAGCAUCAUGGAGCAGUUGGUUCUGAUCUGCUGCAUUUUGUUUGUUUUUCAGUUUUGUUCUUUAUUUGGCUGCAUAUGUUUUGGCAUUUAUGAUUUUCAGAGGCAAAUCAAGGAUAUGCAUGCACAACAAUGAUUGUCAAUUGCUAUAUCUUAGUCAUGUCAAAUAGAGGAUUUGAUCCCCUUUGUAUUGGUUUCAACUAAAUUUUUUGUAGAAUUCUGAUACAAUUUAGUUUCAUAAUUUGAAGAUAAGUUACUUACACUCCAUGUUUGUGAAGGUGAAAACGGUGUUUAGAAGUAAUUUAGUUACUUCUAUUAAAUUUCAAUUUAUUUUCACUUUAUAUA